rnacentral:rRNA from 1 species
UACAGGGGGUGCAAACGUUGCUCGGAAUCAUUGGGCGUAAAGCGCACGUAGGCGGUCUGUUAUGUCGGAUGUGAAAUCCCUCGGCUUAACCGGGGAACUGCGUCUGAUACUGGAUGGCUUGAGAUUGGGAGAGGGAUGCGGAAUUCCAGGUGUAGCGGUGAAAUGCGUAGAUAUCUGGAGGAACACCGGUGGCGAAGGCGGCAUCCUGGACCAACACUGACGCUGAGGAGCGAAAGCCAGGGGAGCAAACGGG